UACGGAGGAUGCGAGCGUUAUCCGGAUUUAUUGGGUUUAAAGGGUGCGUAGGCUGGUAAUUAAGUCAGUGGUGAAAUACUCCGGCUCAACCGGGGGGCUGCCGUUGAUACUGGUUACCUUGAGUUUAGAUGAUGUGGGCGGAAUGUGUCAUGUGGCGGUGAAAUGCAUAGAGAUGACACAGAACACCGAUAGCGAAGGCAGCUCACAAAGCUAUUACUGACGCUGAUGCACGAAAGCGUGGGGAUCAAACAGGAUUAGA
rnacentral:rRNA from 1 species